GACGAACGCUGGCGGCGUGCCUAAUACAUGCAAGUCGAACGCAGUGGGGACGGGUGAUUAACACGUGGGUAACCUCCCAUCAGAGGGGAUAACACUUGGAUAAAGGUGCUAAACCGAUACUGAUUGAUGGACCAGGUGUGCAUUAGCUAGUUGGUGAGGUAACGGCUCACCAAGGCCACGAUGCAGAGCCGAUCUGAGAGGGUGAUCGGCCACACUGGGACUGAGAAACGGCCCAGACUCCUACGGGAGGCAGCAGUAGGGAAUAUUCGGCAAUGGACGAAAGUCUGACCGAGCAACGCCGCGUGAGUGAAGAAGGUUUUCGGAUCGUAAAACUCUGUUGUUAGAGAAGCGGUAUCUAACCAGAAAGCCACGGCUAACUACGUGCCAGCAGCCGCGGUAAUUC
rnacentral:rRNA from 1 species